UACGUAGGGGGCAAGCGUUGUCCGGAAUCAUUGGGCGUAAAGAGCGUGUAGGCGGCCAUACAGGUCAGCUGUGAAAACUCGAGGCUCAACCUCGAGACGUCGGUUGAAACCGUAUGGCUAGAGUCCGGAAGAGGAGAGUGGAAUUCCCGGUGUAGCGGUGAAAUGCGCAGAUAUCGGGAAGAACACCCGUGGCGAAGGCGGCUCUCUGGGACGGUACUGACGCUGAGACGCGAAGGCGUGGGGAGCGAACAGG
rnacentral:rRNA from 1 species